UUGAGAGAAAUAAGCUUUUUCCAUACGGACAAUUUCUGCGAUCUUUUAUUUCAGCUCAUGAAGUAUUGGUCCAACACUUUACAUGUUGCAUUUAUAUUUUUGUUCAGUGUAUUUUGUCUUCUCACCUGUCCAUUGUGUUUUUCCCUUGUCAGAUGAACUGAAGUGGACAUUUGCAGACCAGUGUCUGCUGAAGAGAUGCCUGGGCAGUGUGAGAGGGAUGAGGCGCUUCUGUUCUUUUGUCAAAGGCACUCAUGAAAGUUGAGUUCUGUUACCUUUGGGUCCAGCACUGGCCCCCUUCCAGUCCUGCCCAUCCGAGAGCCUGCCCAGGCUGGACAGCAAGAGCAGUGAUCCCAUAAUCCCCCCUCACGCCUGUAUGGGGACUCCGAUCUGCCACCUCCCUUCUGGAAAUAAGAUGCCCUGGAUGUACAUGGCCAAGCUGGAAUUAUACCAGUUCACUCAGAAUUAAAGUCACUGGGAAAGUGAGUCGUGGAGUGACAGCGCCCUCUAGUGCUCCCACUGCUCCAGAGCAGCAGGUGAGAAUGACGAGGGAGGCUCUGGCUCACUGGCAGGCCUGUACUGAGCCUCUCACUGAGGAGACCUGAGCCCUGCUGCCGUUAGAGGACGUCAGGAUGGAAGGCUUAAUCCACCUGCACUACAGGAAUACCAACGAACGCCGUUACACCAUGAGACCAAGGUAUUUAGGGAAGAUGAAAAGUCCCACCAACCUGGACUUCUUCAAGCGUUACCUGAAGGCCUAUGAUGCUCAUGGAGCUCUGUAGUUCUACCAAGAGGUGGACAAGUUGCAGAACAGACCACCUUCGCCUCCAGAAGACCAAAAUCAACAGCAUUGUGGCCCGCUUCUUCAAACGAUCAGACCUUGGUAACCAGUGGUGGAAAAUGUACCCAAAUGUUCUACUUGAGUAAAAGUAAACAUACUUUAAUAAAAAAUGAA